GGAUAACCUCAUUGCUUCUAGAACUAAUACAUGUUAAGAACUUAACGACACUGUUUUAUUAGAAUGAAAACCAUAGGUUUCGGCCUAUUCGUGAGUAAUAAUAACUAAUCAUAUCGUAUGCUUAUGUAACGAUGUGUCUUUCAAGUUUCUGCCCUAUCAGCUUUCGAUGGUAGUGUAUUGGACUACCAUGGCGGUAACGGGUAACGAAGAAUUUGGGUUCUYUUUGGGAGAGGUAGCSUGAGAGAUGGMUACCACAUCCARGGAWGGCCGCRGGCGCGUAAKUUACCCAAUCSWGACACRGGGAGGUAAGACAAUAAACCAGCAAGGA
rnacentral:rRNA from 1 species